CGGUGGAUCACUCGGCUCGUGGAUCGAUGAAGGACGCAGCAAACUGCGCGUCGAAUUGUGAACUGCAGGACACAUGAACAUCGACGCUUCGAACGCACAUUGCAGCCCACGGAUUCUGUUCCCGGGUUACGCCUGGCUGAGGGCCGGC
rnacentral:rRNA from 5 species